rnacentral:rRNA from 1 species
AGCGAACGCUGGCGGCAGGCUUAACACAUGCAAGUCGAACGGGCACUUCGGUGCUAGUGGCAGACGGGUGAGUAACACGUGGGAACGUACCUUUCGGUUCGGAAUAAUACAGGGAAACUUGUACUAAUACCGGAUACGCCCUUCGGGGAAGAUUUAUCGCCGAUAGAUCGGCCCGCGUCUGAUUAGCUAGUUGGUGAGGUAAUGGCUCACCAAGGCGACGAUCAGUAGCUGGUCUGAGAGGAUGAUCAGCCACACUGGACUGAGACACGGCCCAGACUCCUACGGGAGGCAGCAGUGGGGAAUAUUGGACAAUGGGCGAAAGCCUGAUCCAGCCAUGCCGCGUGUGUGAUGAAGGCCUUAGGGUUGUAAAGCACUUUGUCCGGGAAGAUAAUGACUGUACCGGAGAAUAAGCCCCGGCUAACUUCGUGCCAGCAGCCGCGG